GCGUGUGUGAAGAAGGUCUUCUUGAUUGUAAAGCACUUUAAGUUGGGAGGAAGGGCCCUAAAUUAAUACUUUGCUGUUUUGACCUUUCCUACAGAAUAAACACCCGCUAACUCUGUGCCAGCAGCCCCGGUAAUACCGAAGGGGCAAGCGUUAAUCCGAAUUACUGGGCGUAAAGCGCGCGUAGGUGGUUUGUUAAGUUGAAUGGGAAAUCCCCCGACUCAACCUGGGAACUGCAUUCCAAACUGGGUUGCUAGAGUAAGGGGAAAGGUGGUGGAAUUUCCUGGGUAACGGUGAAAUGCCUAAAUAUUCUAAGGAACUACCGAUGGCAAGGCGCACCACCUGGGCUCAUACUGACACUGUGAUGCGAAAGCGUGGGGAGCAAACAGGAUAAGAUACCCUGGGUUCCACGCCGUAAACAAUAUCAACUAUCCGUUGUAAGCCUUGAGCUUUUUUUGGGGCACCUAACACAUUAUAUUGACCCCCUGGGGAGAACAGCCGCAAGGUAAAAACUCUCAUGAAUUUUCAGGGGCCCCCACACACGGUGGAGAAUGUG
rnacentral:rRNA from 1 species